rnacentral:rRNA from 1 species
UAGCGUAGGGGGCAAGCGUUUGUCCGGGAUUUAUUGGGCGUAAAGAGCGUGGUAGGCGGCCAUACAGGUCAGCUGUGAAAACUCGAGGCUCAACCUUGGGCCUGCAAUCGAUACGGGCAGACUAGGAGUACUGCAGGGGAGACUGGAAUUCCUGGUGUAGCGGUGGAAUGCGCAGAGUAUCAGGAGGAACACCGGUGGCGAAGGCGGGUCUCUGGGCAGUAACUGACGCUGGAGGAGCGAAAGCGUGGGGAGCGAACAGG